rnacentral:piRNA from 1 species
UGAAGUAUCAUAUCUCUUGGUAUCUU